ACUACACCACCCCCAGCGAUAUCCUGGCACCCAGAGAGCACUCCUUUUCAGCCAGAGCCCAGAAACAGCCGUUGUCCCCUGGCAAAAGAGGCCCAGUGCAGGGCCCUGGGCAAGUGUGUCCAGACACCCCUACCUUUCCUGCCUUUAUUAGUCUCCUCCUCCAACAGAGCCCAUUUCCUUUUGCCACUAAAACUAGGUUUCAUCCAAAAGUUUCUCACAAGCUUAAAAGAGAAAAAUGAAAAAUUGACACCAUUAUACAGAAGAAUUCACAAAAGCUGCAGAGCGCCAGGGCAGAGAAGCAGCGACAGACACAGGAGCUGGCUCAGCAGUCUCUUACUGACCCUCUUAGCCUACAAAGCAGUUUCUCCUAGGAAGCUUCCUGUCAGGCCCUCAGGACACACAGGAUGAUGCUUCCAAGUCACUCCCGGAACAGAACGAGGCUCUCACUGGCCUGCGUCUGAGAAGCUACUUCCCCCCC